AGAAAGAUAAGCUAAAUUAAGCUAAUGGGUUCAUACCUCAUAUAUGGGAAUUAAUCCCUUUUUCUA
rnacentral:tRNA from 1 species